ensembl:lncRNA
UUUUAGCAAAAUAUUUAUUUUUUACAAGAAAAAAAAUAAGUUGCCCGUUUUGUUUCCAUGUAGGUUGAUUGAGGUAAAGAACAGUGACUGUUGGGGUCAUCAAGCUUGCUCCUGGUCGUAAACCUGGCCCCACCCUCACGUGCUUGUAUUGAACUAACCACAGUUCUGAGCUGGUCUCAUGAUAUCAAAAUGACACGUCCUCCCUCGAUCCUAAAACAAGAUAGAGGAUCAGUCCUGCUUUUUGUAGAGCUAACCUGAGCCAGUUUUGUGAUGUUUUGGAAGUCCCUUGGGAACAUUCAGCUGUCUUAUUACAGAUGCAAAAAACUGGGACCUUCGCCAGCUUUAGAGCAGGAAUUCUGCUUUAUAAUUGAUGGAGGGACUUCCUGGAAGUCAAAAGAACCACCUUUAGUUUUAUGGCUUCACCUUCAUAAUUAAAGCUGAAGACACUGCAUGAGAGAAUGAGGAACAAAGAACGAGGGGUGUGACAUUUGCCACAGGGCCUUGAAGCAGAUCCCAGCACACCCGCCCCUCAACAUCCCUCUAAUUGCAUUUAAAAAAAAUAAGACUGAUAAUAUUCCCUGUGGAAUGUGAGGCCAGUUUGCCAUGUUUUUGCCUCCCCACAUGUAUCUAUGCCUUCCUGAAUUAUAACUUCCUUUAAAAAAAUAACAAUAAUGUGACCACUAGAGGGCAGGAUACAGCUUUUUAAAAAAUAUUUCCUGGAAAAGCACCCUCACGCCCUCUAGUGACCAGAGGUGAGUGUGUUCUAGAGUUCUAGAAUCGGCCCUUGGAGUUCUACAAUCGGCCACCCCUGCAGUGGCAGGAUAUAGAACAAGAAAUGUAUUCUAUAAAUGAAAUAAUCGUUUUAUGUCUGUAAAGUAAAAUGUACAAUAUAGAAAAUAGAUCAAUGAGACCUUCAACAAAAUUUUUGUAGUGGGGACUGCUCAUGUUUGGGCAUCCAGACUUUUGCUAGUAUACUCCAUUCUGUUCUCUCUCUCUCCCCCCCCUCUACCUCCCAUUUCCCCUUCUUCACUGUCAGUCAGUAUUCUGUGCCACAAAACUUACUCAGGUCUCAUUAUCGUAUCCUGAGGCCUAACCACCACCAUUUUAGAGUUUUAAGAGAAUAUCUGCUCUUUUUUCUGCAAACAUUUAGAUGGUGGUAUUUUAUGUACAUAAGUAACUGUACUUGAAGAAUGAGUAUGCUCAUUGGCGAGAUCCUGAGUCCAAUGAAUGGGGCCCUAUUUAAAGAGAGGAGCAGUCUUAGAUGUAGCUGCCCAGUUUAGAGACUGACACCCUCCAGAACAGGGUCGAAGAUUGAGAAGUGACACGUAGUCUUGUAGGUGGAAAGGGAAUUGACUAAAAUGAUCCAACAUCUGUUGUGAAAGUCUUUACUGCCUGUGCUUCAUCAAACUCCCUUCCAUUCACAGAAGUCCAAGCCAUAAUACUCUGUGUGUUAUUUACAGUCCCUGGAAGCAGUUAGUUGUGAGCAAUGCACAUGUAAUACCAUGACUUGUAACUAGUUACUUUGUUUAGAUGCAAUGCAACUAAUAGUUCCAAAUUACUUUAUCACUGGUAGCUUGGCUGUUACAAAUAAAUAAUGCCUAAGUUACUGAGACA